GAUAAUCUUUAGCCUAAAUCAAAUAUGCAUGACCAAUCAAUUUCGUACUGUAAAAUCAAAUAGCAAAAGGGGUAAGUUUCUUACCGAAACCCCUCGCUUAUGCGAUUCGGAACCACCGCGAGUCGUCGGGCGGGUAAAAAUCUGAAUCCGGGUCACCGGGAGGGUUGAAGUUUUCAUUGAUGAAUACCAUCGUCAACCACCAUCAUCACUGCGCCAGAGAGGGAGAAGGCGAAAUUUAAAGAGGUUCCCUUUCAUCACCGCCAAUAAACGAAGUAGAAAAAGAGUAGAGGUUCCGGGAGAGAAGAACAAAAAUUGGGGGUUUACCCCUGGCC
rnacentral:lncRNA from 1 species